rfam:Bacillus lehensis G1, complete genome.
AGCUUAGGAUCUUCGACUAAGAUCGCAACGUCCAUGUUGCAACGUCGAAGUCAACACAUCCGUGUG